GACGAACGCUGGCGGCGUGCUUAACACAUGCAUGUCGAACGGUGAAGCGCCUUCCUUUUUGGUGGGUGUGGAUGAGUGGCGAACGGGUGAGUAACACGUGAGUAACCUGCCCCCUUCUUCUGGAUAACCGCAUGAAAGUGUGGCUAAUACGGGAUAUUCUGGGUCUGUCGCAUGAUGGGUCUGGGAAAGAUAUUGUUUCGGUGGGGGAUGGGCUCGCGGCCUAUCAGCUUGUUGGUGGGGUGAUGGCCUACCAAGGCGGUGACGGGUAGCCGGCCUGAGAGGGUGGACGGUCACACUGGGACUGAGACACGGCCAAGACUCCUACGGGAGGCAGCAGUGGGGAAUAUUGCACAAUGGGCGCAAGCCUGAUGCAGCGACGCCGCGUGAGGGAUGGAGGCCUUCGGGUUGUGAACCUCUUUCGCCAGUGAAGCAGGCCUGCCUCGUUUGUGGGUGGGUUGACGGUAGCUGGAUAAGAAGCGCCGGCUAACUACGUG
rnacentral:rRNA from 1 species